UACGUAGGGUGCGAGCGUUGUCCGGAAUUACUGGGCGUAAAGAGCGCGUAGGUGGUUUGUCGCGUUGUUCGUGAAAACUCACAGCUUAACUGUGGGCGUGCGGGCGAUACGGGCAGACUGGAGUACUGCAGGGGAGACUGGAAUUCCUGGUGUAGCGGUGGAAUGCGCAGAUAUCAGGAGGAACACCGGUGGCGAAGGCGGGUCGCUGGGACGAUACUGACGCUGAGGAGCGAAAGCGUGGGGAGCGAACAGG
rnacentral:rRNA from 1 species